rnacentral:rRNA from 1 species
ACAAGCAGCGGAGCGUGUGGUUUAAUUCGAUGCAACGCGUACGAACUUACCAGGGUUUGACAUGCAAGUGGUAGGAAGCCGAAAGGUGACCGACCCUUCGGGGAGCUUGCACAGGUGCUGCAUGGCUGUCGUCAGCUCGUGUCGUGAGAUGUUCGGUUAAGUCCGCUAACGAGCGCAACCCUCGCUGCGUGUUAUAUGUGUCACACGGGACUGCCGGUCUUAAGCCGGAGGAAGGUGGGGAUGAUGUCAAGUCAGCAUGGCCUUUAUAUCCUGGGCUACACACACGCUACAAUGGCCAACACAAUAGGUUGCUAAGCCGCGAGGUGGCGCCAAUCCAUAAAGUUGGUCUCAGUUCAGAUUGUAGGCUGCAACCCGCCUGCAUGAAGAUGGAGUUGCUAGUAACCGCAGGUCAGCUAUACUGCGGUGAAUACGUUCCCGGGGCUU